GUUUUUGUAAUUAGUAAUGACAUCGUUUUCAUGGCCACUGUUGUAGACGGUAGACGCCUAGUUUGACUGUAAUAUUUGUAGUUCAAGUUAGAAUCAUUUUGGAUUUUCCGAAUUAUUUUAUUUUUGGGCCAUUGUUAUACGCCUGUAUUGUUAAUUUGUCAUCAAAGAUUCCUGAAAAUAUGGCGGACGAAGCCAACGAAAUUGACUUAGAAGAGACUACCGAUCCAUCCAUGGACUCGGCUCAAGGGGAAAAUGAAGAAGGUAAUACUGUCGUGUACAAGUUACACGAAGAGAUCGACAACCUGAACUUGGUGCUUGACCACUUGGAACGCAAAAAUGGGGACAUAUAUUCCCGAAUUGAACAAUUGCUGGCAUCUUUCCAAAACAAUAAGUCCGAAGAAGAAUAAUUCAAUCCUACAAUUGACAAAGACGAGGGCUGCGUUAUUAAUAUUAGGACAAAUACUUAUAAUUCUCAGUUGUGUAAAACCAUAGGCCUUUGGUCAAAGAAUUUUACUAUAUUAUCUUAUGAUCCGUUGCCAAAAUACUACUCGAGUAGUACAUUUUUAUUACUUAGUUGUCAUUAAUAAUGUUCAAUCUGUAUCAUACAUGAGUGUGCUUCUCCUUGUCAUUAUUUCAAGGUACAAUAUUUGCUUACAAAUUGGUAACUAAUGUAUUUUAGAGUUGUUUUCAUAACAUGAUCCUUUUAGGUGAUCUCUAUUCUCUGAGGUAUAAUUUGAUAAUACGAUAAAAUAACUGCAUUCAAAGUAUUGGUUCACUAUAAUUAGAUAAAAACCUAAAAACAAAUUUAAAAAAAUAUUUUUUAAAUUUUAAAACUUUAAUAAAUGUCCAACAGUUGGGUACACACAUCUCAUUUAAAAUGAACAAUUUGAUAGCGAAGUUACACAAUCCGUAACUGUUAACUAUAUCAUCAUGCAUCCUUACUUUUAGUAUGAUACUUUUAAUGUCUUAAGACUUAAGUAAUCAAUUGUACCGUGA